AUGCAUCUAUUUGACAGACCUGGAACAGUUAUUUUUGCCACUAAGGUUUCCACUACAGAUGCAAGAAAGAAGUGUCCUUGCAUUUCCUGUCUGAUUGUGGCAGCCAACAUUGAAUGGGGGAAUACAGGA
ensembl:snoRNA